CAGUCGCCGCGGUAAUACCAGCAGCCCAAGUGGUGGUCGCGAUUAUUGGGCCUAAAGCGCUCGUAGCCGGGCCGGUAAGUCCCUUGUGAAAUCGGACGGCCUAACCGUUCGGCGUGCAAGGGAUACUGUCGGUCUUGAGGCCGGGAGACGUCCGAGGUACUCCGGGGGUAGCGGUGAAAUGUUCUGAUCCUCGGGGGACCACCGGUGGCGAAGGCGUUCGACGAGAACGGGCCUGACGGUGAGGGGCGAAGGCUAGGGGAGCAAACGGGAUUAGAUACCCCCGUAGUCCCUGUCUCUUAUU
rnacentral:rRNA from 1 species